rnacentral:rRNA from 1 species
UACGAAGGGGGCUAGCGUUGCUCGGAAUUACUGGGCGUAAAGCGCACGUAGGCGGUCUUUUAAGUCGGGGGUGAAAUCCUGGAGCUCAACUCCAGAACUGCCUUCGAUACUGGAAGACUUGAGUCCGCGAGAGGUGAGUGGAACUGCGAGUGUAGAGGUGAAAUUCGUAGAUAUUCGGAAGAACACCAGUGGCGAAGGCGGCUCACUGGACUGGUAUUGACGCUGAGGUGCGAAAGCGUGGGGAGCAAACAGG